UCAGAAUCAUCUUCCUCAUCAUCGUUAUCCUCUGAACUAGCAUCAGAUCCAUCUUCAUCGUCAGACUCAUCCUCACCGAGUAAUUCCUUCUUCAGGACCUCGUACUUCUUUUCGUUCUCAAGGAAGUCAGGAUCAGAACCAUGUGUUACCAAGCUUACCAAGAGAGGUUUCAGGAUUUAUUUCGUCAUCAAUAGAUAUAUCAUGCGAAUAUUUUUCUUCCACAAGAUCCAGCUCAGGACGAACAGCAGGAUGUCCCUGAAAGUAAAUCAUUCACACAAUUUUAUGAGCAAUAUGCCAUCAGUGAAAACAAAGCAUGGUUCCAUCUCUGCAACAACCUGAUAAUCUCAGAAUAAAAUUCAAGCAAGUUCUAUAAUCUUUACCUGAAA